AUUGAACGCUGGCGGCAGGCCUAACACAUGCAAGUCGAGCGGAGCGGCGGACGGGUGAGUAAUACCUAGGAAUCUGCCUGGUAGUGGGGGAUAACGUCCGGAAACGGGCGCUAAUACCGCAUACUAUCAGAUGAGCCUAGGUCGGAUUAGCUAGUUGGUGGGGUAAGGGCUUACCAAGGCUACGAUCCGUAACUGGUCUGAGAGGAUGAUCAGUCACACUGGAACUGAGACACGGUCCAGACUCCUACGGGAGGCAGCAGUGGGGAAUAGUGGACAAUGGGCGAAAGCCGGAUCCAGCCAUGCCGCGUGUGUGAAGAAGGUCUUCGGAUUGUAAAGCACUUUAAGUUGGGAGGCGUUACCGACAGAAUAAGCACCGGCUAACUCCGUGCCAGCAGCCGCGGUAAUUC
rnacentral:rRNA from 1 species